AGGCACGUUGGCAGGGAACGGCUGGAUUUGGCAACCUCGCUGUACCUCCUCACCACGGCUCAGUGGAUUUGGGGAUUUGGGUAGCGCUGGUUUAUCUCAUUAACCACCCGCUUUGAUUAACAGCCUGUUCCUUCCCUUCGCCACACGGUGGUACCAGGAAACGCAGAAUCGGUGCUUGGAAGGCGAUAAAUGGCAGGCAGCGUCCAAAUGCAGCGCAAGCUGUCGGGGAACAAACUUGGGGGACUGGAGCCCGGUUCAUCGCAAUCUAACGUGUGUUAUUUGCUUCUAGAAAGCGGGAGAAGCGCUCCUCCAGCAACCUCCAUCGCCCGGCUCUUCCGCCACCUCCGGAGGAUCAAUAAUCGCCCGAGCAGUUGUGUAAAGCUGGAAAGGAAGUGGCUGCUUCCCAGAGUUGGCGAGAUUGCAUGCGGAGCACUUGACACCCUCGUGAUACUUCCUUGCAGAGGAUGCAAAACGGAAAAAUGAGCUCCUGAGGUGGUCGGGCUGGCUGGCCCACGGCUGCCUGAGCGAGCAGACUGAAGUGUACCGGCCCCAGGCGUUGGGUUCCUGCCCGGUAUGAAGAAACGGUGUCUGAGCAGGUAGCUCAUUACACAACCAGACACAGGUGAAGACAGAACUGUGGCUUCUCUGCACUUGUGUGCAGCUAACCCAGCAGCAGUUCCGUGCACAGCUGCCUUAUGUAAGUCUCCGUGCAAUACCGGGCUUUCCUCGCAAGAGGGAUUCUUCCAGCGUCGCCACCUCACCCACGCUCAGGUUCUGCAGAUUUUUUUGCAUUUCAGACACAGUUCCCCUCUUACACUGGGAGGCAAAUAACUCCAUUUUCCCCGUGACUGGUGCUAAGAACUGUGCUAAGGACCGUAAGAGGUAACUAAGUGAUGCUCUGGGUAGGCUGGUUUACCCUGUUCUUGAGCCGGACUGGUUUGCUUUCUGACACAACCCUUUCACUUCACUGAACGAUUCAUUUCUAAGGCCAUAGUGAUGCUAUUUAAAGCCAUCCAUUUCUGUCUGUAGAGUGAUGAUAUUUCAACCCAUCCAUUUCCGCCUGUAUCCUCUUCCAAAACACUUCUGUCAGCAGGCGAGCUUGUGCCAGAAGUGAGCUGGUGAUCCAUUUGUCCGUUGGUAAUCAACUCCCUUAUUAAUUUCCAAGGACUUGGCAAACAGCUGCCAAAAAACUGUUUUCCAUCUCUGUUGAUCAAUAUUACCUUUCAACAAGUAUAUGGUGUUAUGAGUGUUAACAGCUAAUAGCACUGUGUUUCUUGUACUAUUUUAAGGACUGUAGCAUACCCCAGAGUCCUUAUAUUCGAGAGAAGACUUUUGAGUUAAAUAACAUUACAUCAGAUGUUAUUUAUUAUCCAUUUCCAACACACUGACCCUAUUUCCACUGUAUCUUAUGCUGGCCUGCUGCCACUGGAUAUUUAUCUCCAACAUUAUGUUAGUGGAUUCUUAUGGUUGAGGGGGAAAAUGAUUCUGCGCAGACUUUAAAUAGACAAAUAAAUAAGACAGCAGGUCUGGCCAGGACUUUCUGAAACCAGGUUGUGAGCAAAUACCUGAUUUCUCAGAGGAAAAGGGUGGAAGGAGUCAUUACCUACCGUGCAAGUCUCAUUUUUGCUGUCACUGAAGUCAGUGGCAAAAUUCAAACCACUUUCCAGAGUUGGAACCUUUUAAAAUGCUCACUGCCUCUGGCAAAACCUUUAUUGAUAUAAAGCAGCGUGCACCGAAGCUUUUAUCUGUCUAUUGAGUGCCCGUCGCCGAAGUUCUUACGUUGUGGAUUGCUUUUCCUCAGCGGCUGGAGACACACGUGCGAGCAGAGACGGGAGGUCCCACCAACGGUGAGGACAUGUCCCUUGAGUGCUCUGGGUGCUGGAGGUUUCUCUGUGCAUUGAGCAGUCUUUGCUUAUUUUAUAUUUUUUAUGUGCUUAUUUUAUGAAUUCUUAAAUGUGAAUGUUGGGACACGUUUCUUUAGAAAAGAAGUUUAGUCCCCAGUGGUACGAACCUUGCCGUCUGAGCAACGCUGCCCUCCCCUCUUACAGUGACAGAGGAAAGGCACAGCCGCAGCGUAACAAAGAAAUGGGUUUGAUCACGCCAGUGCCCACAAAGUUCAGCGGAAGAAAGAUAAAAGAAACCAUUGAGCACCAUGGACGUGUAUCUGUACCUGACCACGCAAGCCGCCCGACUUCUAUCUGUGCUGUGGUGCUGCCUCAAUCAGCAUCUGAACUAGAGGAAACAAGUGUUAUUAGAAGAGAAGUUGGAGACCUGCUUCUCUCUCCCUGCAUGAUGAAGAUACCUCUUCCCCACACUUCUCUAGAAAAUUGUGCUUGUAUUAUGUCUUCCUAUGUAAAACAAUUGGUCACGAGGCCAAAAUACUCCCAGUAAGGAUUAUUUCUCAUAUUCUGGAAGUUUAUUUCUCUGGUUAUUUUUGUGAUGUGGCUUUUCAAGCCCGGAUGUGUGCAACAGCCUCUGUUUUGUCAGACUGAGAAAUAAAAUACUGCCAGUAUAUCAGUCUUCAACAAAUCAGAAAUAAAGUUUGCUUCUUCCCCUAAGAAAAAUCAGUUACUGGGGUCUUUAGGCUUUUCCUCCGGAUUUCUGAAAUUCACUUCCAAUUCUGAAAUUUUUUUGUUGGUUUGUGGUUUGGUUUUUUUUAACCUUGAAUGACAGCGUCCCUAACUGUGCAAUGGGGUAAUUAGGAACGGGUAUUUGUGUGUGCCCUCUAUUAAGCAGGACGAGACUUGUUCAGUUGCAUGACGUAGGCUUGAGACCACGAACACUGGAAUGACAUUUUCCUCUCGCCGGAGCUGGGUUUCUGCUGAAAUGAGGUUUUGUUUUCCCCUUCCCUGUCUGGAGAAACUGGGACCUCUGCACCUCAGUUUGCUCUGCAAGUAGCACAAAACUAAGGACAUCUAUUUGUAUCCACUUAAAAGCCCCAUCACUUGUUUACAAGUUCUUAAACCUAAAAAACCCAUAAAAACUGACUGUACUUAGCCCUGUUGUUUACUCAGCUUUCUCCCUGGCUAGGGGACAGUGAAAACAGGCCCGGCAGUUUCACUUCUGUUUACAGUUUCUAAUAGUUUUCUCUUUCAUGUUAUCACUCCCUGGCAUAGCACUACGCUGAAACAAACUACAAACAUAGCUGUAUGCUAAUUAAAAACCAAAAUGUGCCAGAUAACUCGCUCUA